GUCAGGAGACCCGGGGACCCCAGGUCCCGGGGCCGGUGGGCCGGGCCUCCUUGGGGCCGCUCCGCGCGCCAGCCCCCCCAGACCAGAGCCCGCGGCAGCCGACCCGCAGAUUCCUCAUCAGCCAAAGGAGCUCGUUAGAGGGGACAGUUCGCCGCCGCUGUGGGGAGUCUUCUCUCCUGUAAGGACACCAAAGAGGAACGGAGCACACGCUGGAGGCAGGCAGUGUCAGCAGAGAGGAGUCUCACACCCACGCGGGGCAGCAGCGGCCGGGCAGCAGGGGCACCCAGUAGGUGCCACCGGGGCCAUCACCCACACUGCUCCUGUGAGCGUCGCAUAAGAUGCCUCCUGAUGGACAUGCACCCUCACCUUUCUCGGGUACAUUCUGGGACUGCAGUUGCCGGAUCACAGCACUUGUACGCUUGACUUCAUUAGAAAAUGCCGAUCAGUUUUCCAAAGAGAGUUUAACAUUUCCUGCAGCAGGUAUGACAGUUCCAGCUGGACCACAUUUUGGCCAACAGUUCUUAUUAUCAAUCCCUUGGUUUUGGGUGUGAAAUGGUACCCUACUGUGGUUUAAUUUGCAUUUUCCUCAUUGCUAAAGAAGUUGUGAACAUUUCACAUGCUUCUUAGCCGUUUGGAUUUCUUCUUUAACACAGUUAAACAUAGUUCAAGUCUUUUGACAAUUUUAACAGAGUUCUUUUUGUUUUACCUAUUGAUUUGGCAUUGUUCUUUGUAUAUUCUGGAUACGAGUUUUUUAUUAGAUCUACUGUUGGGGUGUCUGGGUGGCCUCAGUCGUUUAAGUGGCCAACUCUUAAUUUCAGCUCAGGUCAUGAUCCCACGGUUCAUGGUGUUGAGCCC